GAAGGCCCGCGGACUGCACACGAUGGUGAGGAAAACGGCGAGCUCGUGAGCUACCCCCUUCAGAGACUCGGACCCAAGCGCCUUACGCUCGCAGCAGGUACUCUACAUUACAUUCUCAUACGGUCACAUAGGUGCCGCGACGGCGUUGCUCGCGGUUGCUUUCGGGUGAGUCGGACGCAACCGCAUUCGCUGAUGGCAAGGGCCCGUUGCACAUCCUGGCUCGCCGAGCCCCAGCAACCCCUCAGCAGCUCUUCUUACCUUGCACUAGUGUCCAGAGCUCCGAUGGCUACUAAAUUCAGGUAGUCCUGGAAGGCGAGGUAGAAAUGCUCGGUGUGGGGGCAAGUGCGUCUAGGUCCUGGCUUGCGCUAUGUGGUGAAGCGCUAUGAGCCUUGCUCGAUGCUGUGCCUGGAGCGGGCCGGCCCUUGGUAUUUAUUGCGGGCAGGAGUCGGACCAGUAGUGGCCCCCGUACGGCUAACCGACGAAAAGGCUGGCGCGAGGCAGGGGGAACGCGAAUGGGAGGGCGUAACUCACGCCAACGCUACAUAUCCAUGCUAGAGUAUUAUGCACACAACCAGUUUGACUGCAUUGUGCGGCUGUGCCCGCUGGUCGCGGCUAUGAUAACUUCGAGGAGGCUACUACACUGUCUGCAGCAUAAUGAUAUGUAGCUGCAUAGGCAAAUCGUGCGCCUGCGGUCGCUUGCCUGCCGAAGCGGGGACGCCGGGCAUUCGCAGUUGUAAUGACCUUUCGAUAGAAGCAGAAACCGCGCCUGCUAAAAGCAUGUACAGUACAUGUCCAGGAACGCAUUGCUUGCUGCGCCGCACUGCACCUUUGCCUGAAGGGCCUUCCGUGGCGGGGAAAUUUGGAAAGUCGUUGGUCCUUGGCCUCGAUCUCAGCGGUGGGUCUAUCCCUGCCCCCGUGACUCGGUACCGACACACGGCCGCUGCAGCUUACUUCCCUAGGCGGUGGACACAGUGGUGCGGGCUGCUGGGGUGGGCAGCACCGUCACAGGGAGGUUUAGGAGGUUUAGCUUACCGCAUAUUCGGCAUGAAAGAGCUGGUCACGGCACGAAAUCUGCAAACCGUUGUGCGCGCGUCCAGGAUAUUUACUCGCAGUUAAAACCGGGUCCGGGUGAAUACGGGGCCAGCUUUCAAUACCCGCACCCCUGGCCAUGGGCAAGGGUCAGGCCACCGGUUUCGGCACGCGCAACCUCGCCUCCUGUAUUGCCAGGACAACGUUGCUGCGCGGGGACCCGCGCCGAAUGGCGCACCCCACCACAGCCUACCCAGCCGCCCCCGUCCCCGCAGCCGCCCCCGCCACUGGCCCAGCCGCGCCGCCCACCCACCCAGCCCCCGGCCCCUACCCCGCCCACGCCCACNNNNNNNNNNNNNNNNNNNNNNNNNNNNNNNNNNNNNNNNNNNNNNNNNNNNNNNNNNNNNNNNNNNNNNNNNNNNNNNNNNNNNNNNNNNNNNNNNNNNCAGCGUUUGUGUUUCCAGAGUCGGGCUUCCUGGUGUCGCACGGCAUGCAUCGCACGCGCCCAUGCCAACCGCAGUGCGACCGGGAUGAGCCAUGCAGCGAUCGCGCUGUCGUUACUUCCUCGGCCGCCCGGCGCACUUGCUCAUUUAACCGCAUCCAUCACUUCGCCAUACUUAGUGUUCUUCGUUUAUCCACCCAACGCAGCGCACAGCCACAGCCCGCUGCCCGACUCGCGCACCAUGUCCUCGCGGUUGUUUUGGGGGUCACGUUGCUUGCCUCGCGCCUAGCGCCAUAGCUUUUACGCGGCAGUGCAUCACGCCUCCUGUCCCUCCCUCCCUCCCAUACAUGUCGUGCUGGGCACCGGUGGCGCUGGUGUUCUCCAGGUUGGUUUCGGGCGCAUCCUUUCUGGUAGUCCCAAGCAACGCCCGGCCGCCGUCGUCCAGCCCAGCCAUCCCAAUACAGCAGCCGCUUUCUGUCAGCCAGCCAUGGGCGCGACCGUCCACAGCGUUUACCGUCGGUUACGAGGUAACAUGUGAAUUCGCAACUUGCGCUACUGACUGCCUACUCUCGUGCCACCUGCAAGCCCACUCCGCCGUCCGCUCUGGUCUACGUACGCAUGCGUUCCCACCACACUCGUCAUUAACGUUGUACCGUGCAUUGUACUGCACAAGGUCAGGGUCUGUCAGUACCCUUUGUCAGGUCGCUGACUGAUGCGGACUGGCAGAAGUUGUGUCCACAGCCUGGGAUUUUCCUGACGCUAGAGCGACGGAAGAGCUGGACAGAGAAAGCCUUGCAACGGAUGCCAUAUCCCACUGAUCCCACUCCCGGCUCGGCAAGCGCGCGCACGGCAAACCCUUUCUGUUCUAUGAGCCUGUUACAUGUAUGCUUUCACUACCGUAAUGCAUUGCGGACUGUUUACGUAGGCUUCAUGUGCAGUCAGCCGCAAAGACGGCAUCAUCAUUUGAAUAUAUGAUGCCGCACAACCAUGCAUAUCGUGCCAGUGUCAUGCGCCCUCGCUUACUCAACCUUGCCUGCAUUCAAGUGACUGCUUGUAGCUAAUGAGACCUCUGCCCACUCGUGGGACAGCGGCCCGUUAAGUUUCUUGGAAUACGGUAUUGGCGGUGCAAUCAACACGCCAAUGGCUAUGCUAGCAGUCAUCACCGCUGUGUCAACCACUUGGGAGUCGUAGGAAAAGCUAGCCUGUCCUCCUUUGGAUAGUGUCAGCACACCAAACUACCAAUACGCCCCUGCCUUACCAUUCAGUAACACACUCUGCCUAGCACGCAAUCAGUGACACAGGAGCAGAGCAAUCAUGCGGCCGACCUAAUAACUAACUACCGUAUCUACCUCUGGCCUACCUAUGCCUAGACGACUAAGUACAGCACAUGACGACACGAGCUUCCUGGGCUACGGUAUUACCGGCGCCCGCUGACUGCCACGAACGUGUCCAGCGGGCAGCACGUCUUGUCCUCUGAGAACAUGGCGUAGUAGCAGCGGCCCUGGGCGCUGCGCGCGCAGAACGACUGCAGCGUGGGGCAGGUGCUCUUGGCAUUGAGCUCAAUGCACACCUCGCGACCUGCCGAAGGCACGGACGCCGCGGCCAUGUUGAGUGCGGGGAUCUUGAACGUGCCCUUCGGCGCCCACUGCUGGUCCACCUUGACGCCAUCUAGGUACACCGCCUUGACGCUGCUGCGGCACGCGUCCUUGCUCCACCACUCCACCUUGGACAGGCGCUGGGCGCAGCACUUGUUGCUGGGGUCGAUGCAGUCGGUGGUGUAGAGCGUGAGGCAGUACAUCUUGUUGGGGCCCGACGCCGCCUUCUUCACCACGGGCGUGGGGUCAAAGGUGAAGGGCACGUUGCCGACGGUGCGGUUGCACUCGCAGAAGGGGAAGCUGACGGGCACGGGCGGCGGCGGGCGGCGGAUGGCGGGGGUGAGAGGGUUCAUGGGCGGCUCAGGGCUGGGGGGCAGGGGCGGCUCGGGCGAGGGCGGCGCGGGGCUGGGAGGCGCAGGCGAGGGCGGGCGGGGAGACGGAGGAGGCGGAGAGGGAGGCCGGGGCGAGGGAGGCGCAGGCGAAGGCGGGCGAGGAGACGGAGGAGGCGGAGAGGGAGGAGGAGGGCUAGGAGGAGGAGGCGAGGGAGGAGGCGGGCUCGGGGGAGGGGGCGACGGAGGAGGAGGGCUGGGAGGCUUGGGGGAAGGAGGCUGGGGGCUGGGAGGGCGCGGGCUGGGGGGCGCCGGGCUGGGCGGCUUGGGCGAAGGAGGCGCAGGAGAAGGAGGGCGUGGCGAAGGAGGAGGAGGUGAGGGAGGAGGUGGCGAGGGAGGAGGAGGAGAGGGAGGAGGAGGGCUAGGAGGAGGAGGCGAGGGAGGGGGAGGAGACGGGGGAGGAGGCGACGGAGGAGGGGGGCUGGGAGGGCGAGGGGAAGGAGGCUGGGGGCUGGGGGGCUUGGGAGACGGGGGCGCUGGGGAAGGAGGGCGAGGAGAGGGAGGGGGAGGAGAGGGAGGAGGGGGAGACGGCGGGGGCGGGCUGGGAGGAGGGGGAGAAGGAGGAGGCGGAGGAGGGGGGCUGGGAGGAGGGGGAGGCGGGGGGUUGGGCGGCUGGGGCGAGGGCGGCGGGGGCAUGAAGCCCAGCAUCUGCACAGGACAGCAGUUGCAGGUGCCGCUCUGCACCAGCGCAGUCUGGCAGAAGCCGUUGCCCACGGUACAGAGGGUGUCCAUGGUGGGGCAGGCGCCGCCCAGCUUCAUGCACACCACGGCGCCCUCGGCGGUGGCGAGUGUGAGGUUGAGGCCGGUCAGCUUCAUGACGGCUUUGUUGGAGUUAGAGGGGCCGUACGGGUCAAACGUGGGCGCCAGCGCGGGGCGACCGUUGACCGUCACGCCCGUCACCGCAAACUUGCACUGAGCGUUAAUGUCCAGCUCAAUCUUGUACAGGUCGAUCUUCUUGUCACAGCAGGGCGAUCCGGGCUUAGCGCAUGGCACCACGCGCGUGGUCAUGCACACGCGGUUGCCGGCGACGGUGUAGGGCAUGUCCAGCCGGAAUCGCGACUGCUGCGGGUCACGCGUGCAGCUGUAGGGCGGGAAGGUCUGGCCGAGCGCGAGGCCUGCCGCCAGCACUAGCGCCAGCAAUGCUGACGCUCUCAUGUUUGCGAGUGGAAGCAACUGCAGGCAGAAGGAGUGACAGAAGGGAAGGGAGGAGCGGCGGUUAGCGCAAUGGAAGGCCCGCGGACUGCACACGAUGGUGAGGAAAACGGCGAGCUCGUAAGCUACCCCCUUCAGAGACUCGGACCCAAGCGCCUUACGCUCGCAGCAGGUACUCUACAUUACAUUCUCAUACGGUCACAUAGGUGCCGCGACGGCGUUGCUCGCGGUUGCUUUCGGGUGAGUCGGACGCAACCGCAUUCGCUGAUGGCAAGGGCCCGUUGCACAUCCUGGCUCGCCGAGCCCCAGCAACCCCUCAGCAGCUCUUCUUACCUUGCACUAGUGUCCAGAGCUCCGAUGGCUACUAAAUUCAGGUAGUCCUGGAAGGCGAGGUAGAAAUGCUCGGUGUGGGGGCAAGUGCGUCUAGGUCCUGGCUUGCGCUAUGUGGUGAAGCGCUAUGAGCCUUGCUC
rnacentral:lncRNA from 1 species